AAUCAACGCUGGCGGCGUGCCUCAGACAUGCAAGUCGAACGCGAAAGUCCCCUUCGGGGGACAAGUAGAGUGGCGCACGGGUGAGUAACACGUAGGUAAUCUACCUUUGGAUGGGGAAUAACAACCGGAAACGGUUGCUAAUACCGCAUAAUGCAGCGGCACCUAAUGGUGACAGUUGUUAAAGCGGGGGAUCGAAAGACCUCGCGUCCAAAGAGGAGCCUGCGGCGGAUUAGCUAGUUGGAAGGUAAUGGCUUACCAAGGCUACGAUCCGUAACCGGCCUGAGAGGGCGGUCGGUCACACUGACACUGACAUACGGGUCAGACUCCUACGGGAGGCAGCAGUCGGGAAUUUUGGGCAAUGGGCGAAAGCCUGACCCAGCAACGCCGCGUGAAGGAUGAAAUCCCUCGGGAUGUAAACUUCGCAAGAAACGGGAAGAA
rnacentral:rRNA from 1 species